GAGGCAUAUGCAAUGACUCGGAGCUUAUCGCAUUGCUUUUGACUAAGAGUGGCCCCACUGUUCGUCUCUGAAGAGGCCAACUGAAUCACAAAAGGAAGGACAGGGUCUGGAUACGCCAGAGCCAAAGCACAAGCUAAAUCAUGUUUUAAGAGAACAUUUCAAUGAACUCUCGGGAGAAGUUAAAGGUUCCCAGAAGAGCUCGCGAGGAGUCUGUCUGUGGGAGCAGGCAGCUUUCCUCCUGUUUCUACCCCUUGCUGAUCUGAAGUCCUGCCAUCCUCUCCAAGACACCCAGUCCAGCCCUGCUCCAUUUUCUCUACCGUUCUUCCUACCAUCUCCUCCAAAAGCAUUCACGUGGACCGAUGAUACGGCAACAGUUCAACGACACUGGCAGCAGGAGCAACAAGUGAAAAGUGAGCGCUACGGGUGGCAGGCCACGGAGCCAGGAGGGAUGACUGCGUGGAAGACGUCAACAGAUGCCUCUGACAGUGGUGUGACCACGAGGGGUCUGCUUUCUUUGACCCCAACAAGUACUUUGGAGAGAGAGGAUUCCUAGGAGAGGCCCACGAACCAAGCGGAAGAGCUGGAUGUGGACUUCUCUCGAGAACUGACAGAGAGGCCGGGCGUGCCAGGGACUCGGUUGUCACGGGAGACUUCAAGUACCUGGACGCAGCUCGGGAGGAACACUCGGCUAGUGCUGUUGUUAUUUAUCGCCAUGAAACUUUGGAAUGCAAGAUGCCGUCUCCAGAAACUUGCCUGGCAUCUGGGAUAAAUACCACGCCGCACUCUCUAAACAGACUGUCCACGAGGAAUCCAUCAUCUGGAAAGACCAACAAGGCAGGAUGAGCCUGUCCUGAACAAUGCAGCCUCAGGUAGAGAUGCCCACGGUAGCUCUAAAGGAACGGGGGAUGAAGAAGUCAGAUCAGAGUACUCCGCUGAUGCCUCUAGGCCACUUCUGUUACCAUGGCUC